rnacentral:tRNA from 13 species
UCCCCAGUGGCGCAAUUGGUUAGCGCACGGUACUUAUACGACAGUAUGCGUGAGUAAUGCCGGGGUUGUGAGUUCGAGCCUCACCUGGGGAA